rnacentral:rRNA from 1 species
UACGGGGGGGGCAAGCGUUGUUCGGAAUUACUGGGCGUAAAGGGCUCGUAGGCGGCCAACUAAGUCAGACGUGAAAUCCCCAGGCUUAACCUGGGAACUGCGUCUGAUACUGGAUGGCUUGAAUUCGGGAGAGGGAUGCGGAAUUCCAGGUGUAGCGGUGAAAUGCGUAGAUAUCUGGAGGAACACCGGUGGCGAAGGCGGGUCUCUGGGCCGAUACUGACGCUGAGGAGCGAAAGCGUGGGGAGCGAACAGG